GGCCCCUCACACCGAUGUUGGUGCGCGAUAAGCGACCGAAUGCGCCGAAGCGGCCGAAGCUGCCGGAGCGCCGUAAACAAACUCACCACGCAUGCGCGAAGGAAAAGAAAAAAUAUAUAUGAGAGAGAAAAAGUUUCGGAUUGACAUCGGAGGAGCUGCCGAGCCGCGCGGACGCGCCAUGUCGAAGCUCCCGUUCUGCGGACUUUUCGUGCAAACCGGUUGCAAAGUUUGGAACUGUGUUGGCGGCGCCCUUCGCGUGCGCAGCAGUGCGAUAUGUUUUCACCAGUGGACAUGAAAGGUGUGUUGCGAGGCCAAUGCAAUGCCCCGCAACGUGAGUGCGACGGAUUUUGCCGCUCCGCGAACAACGAACCUGCUGCACCACUCCAGGCCGCUUGGUGCUCAUACUGUGGGCACAGCCCAGUACAACAUGCUCGAAUUGGGACAACCCAGGACGUGUAUUUCUCAGCACCCAGUCAACUGCCAGAAGUGACUCAAACACAGGCCACCAAGUCAACCCAGGACGUGUGUUUCUCAUCACCCAGUCAGAACUCAACCACAGGCCACCAGUGGCACUCAGCUGUACCACUGCACUGCUGCUAAAAUUGCCAGCACCAGCGGCUUUGUAACAGCUGUUUCACAGCAUCUCGGAGACAAUGCCUACGAAAUUAUUGGUCCUGAUGACGAGAGCCCUCAAGGGGCAAACGACAUCUCUGUUGCAGAAGUGAGCCCGAUACCACCUGAAGUUAACAUGACCGAUGACACGGCUGCAAUAGAUACAGAGACUGCCAUGUCUACUGGAGCUGCAACAGUGUACGAGGGAAUCAGCAGCACGUCAGCAUCAGCAGUAGUGUCAGAAGGAACCGAACCAGGCCUGGUAGGGCAACAUGUGUGCUACCACUGUGACUUUUUUGUAGUGCAUACACCUCAUCUGCUCAACAUACGAAAGCUUUUCACCACGACUGCGAGCCAGUGUUCUUGUGCAGUGAGAGCAAGACUAUGUUUGGUGUUAUAACACAGUAUAAGCAUCACUUUAAAAUAUGCAAACCUAUUACAGUUGUUGCCUCCCCGGCCAGCCCACAUAGUGACAACAAUGUGGAACGCAUGGUGGGACACACCUCUCCCCCAUUAGAAGAUAGUAGAGAGACUGUCAGUGUGGUUGCUAGAUUAACUGGUCAUUGUAGCCGACUAGAAGGACAACACAGGUGUCAUAAGAUUGUUGUUGAUGUUGUUGCUGAAGAGGUAAAAAAGAUGUUUGAUGCAGCUGAAGCAUUGAUAUUGAGCAAAUGAAAAGUGACCGCCUGAGAAAGCUACACUACCGAAAUGUGGGUAUCUAUAUGCCGCCAACUCUGGUAAAGCUCACAGGGAAGCAAAGACUUAUGUUGUACAGUUAGCAAACCUCCUUCAAAAUGUGCUAGGGCUCCCAAACAUUGUUGACUAUGUAAGGAAGCCCUGCGGAAUGGAGACUGACUCUGUACUUAGUGACUUCUGGGAUAGAACAAGGGUUCAUUCGCAUCCCAUUUUUAACAUACACAAGAAAAUGUUGUUCUUCUCAACCUGUAUUAUGAUGACAUAGAACUUGCUAACCCGAUUGGUACCAAAAGAGGCAAAUUGGGCAAGCUCAGUGUAAUUUAUUUAACAAUAUUAAACCUGCCACCUUCUCAGCGUUCUAAACUGUCUAGCAUCUUUUUGAUGCGGGUUGGUCACACAGCUGACCUGAAGAAGCAUAAUGCCCAGUUAAAUUUUUUGAAGAUUUCAUUCAAGUGUUGAGAGUGCUCGCCAACGAAGGAAUCAUCUUUGAUACAGACAGAGGCCGUGAAAGGUUUUUUGGUGCUGUGAUGACCGUUACAGGACAUUCUUUAGCUGCCCACUCCUUAGCAGGUUUAAAGAAUCUUUUGGCCCAACUGCGUUUCGAUCCUGUUGAACUUGCCUUGAACCGUCAUAUAGUUAUGCGCAACAUGUUCGACAUGGAGUGUGUAACCUGAGAUCGGAGAGAAAUCAAGUUGCAAAUGCAGGAACUGAAACAAAUAGCAUCAGUUUCAAAUAGGAAGCAGCUUUCCAAAGAAUUUGGGAUCAACGGAGAAUCAGGGCUGACCUCAUUUCCUUUUUUUUUGUUGACAAAAGAUAUUUUGUAUCACCCGAUGCAUAUCCUGCAACCACUCCAUGUGACCACUUUCCAUGUUAUUCUGCAUGAUACAGCUCAACCUCCAGAAACGAGACCACAACUUGUCUGUAAAAAGCCUUCACAAAAAAUUAUUCAUAACACUAUUAACACAGCAGUAUUUUAUUGUGGGUUUGAGGUUUCCGGAUGUUCAUUAAUGCAAAAAGUGAAAAAGAACAAGUUUCGUACUUACUUCUCUUUAACAAGUGCGAGGGGGACACCACUUUUGUAGUCAUACAUCUUCAUCACACUAUCAAGUUUCUAAACGCCUUUUAUAAUUAGUAUUACCAGUUACUUAUAUCUGAGUGCAUUGUAUGCAUGUAGCAGGUGUAAAAUCAGGUCAGUUUGAUCAGAUGCCUUAUCUGGAAGAGAGCCCUAUAAUAAAGAAAUUUGAAUUAAAAUAGGUACGUUAGACACAACAUCUUAGCACUUUAUUGCGUGUGGUUUAAGCAUUGCUCAAUACUUUUCUGGAUGGCAGUUUCAACUGGCAGAGCACUGCGCUUUGCCACAGUAACAUGUGUCUUCAAAGUGGUGUUUACCUGUUGUGUUGGUCUCUUUGUGUAGGCAUAGAGCAAGCUUUUUUUGCAUUUACGUGUUUGUACUAUGUUUAUAUAAGGCAGUUACAAAAUGUGUGUCACUAUAACGACCUGUUAUUUUGAGCUUACACCUGAAAAUAAUGGUGCCCAGAUGGCCGCACUUCUAUUUAGGUGCACCGCUAGCUUCGUGUAUGUUCUCAUGUUUGUAUAAAGCUUAUAUAAGCCAGAGACAGAAUCUAUGUAACUAAGCACUGUGAUAUUCUUUAAAGAACUGCUUGGUUGGGUUUACACUUGUGAAAUAGUACUGACGCGGUGGUAUUUACAUGUAGGCCCACUGCAAGCAGUCUGUGUGUUCGUGUGUUUGUAUUAUGCUUUUACAAUGGAGUUGCAACAUGUAUGUCACUAAGCGCUGUGAUAGUUUUUAAAGAACUGCUUUGUUGGUUUUACACCUGGGAGUAAUAGAACUCAGGUGGCACUGUGUAAUCAUGUGUAGGUACACAGGGACCAUUUGUGUACAUUGUGAUCAUGUAAAGCAGUUACAAAGUGUAUGUCACUAAUCAUUGUGAUAUUUGUUGAACAAUUACUGUGAUCGUUCUACACCUGUGAAUAAUAGUGGUCAGGAGACAGUACUUGUGAUGUAUAGUUGAAUUAAUACAGUGCCAAGACAUGGGCUGUAAACGUACCAAAAGAAAUGCAUGUCAUUAUAUUGUUGUGAUGAUUAUUACUGUUUGGAUUUUAUUAAACUUUGAUAAAAUUGUUUCUUGUGUCAAUUGAGGUAUGGCAAUUUAUCAUGCAACCAAACUGAGGACAUGAACGUGUGCAUACAAAUAAACAGCUAAUUUAAGAGUAUACUGCUCAUAUUCUGCUAAACCACUUAACAAAUCUUGUAAUACAAUGCUGGACAAAUGACAGAGCUCACUGGGAUGUACAGAAAGAUUUCUGCACUGGCUGAAGGACUGCCCCACACUGGAGUUGG